rnacentral:rRNA from 1 species
GACGAACGCUGGCGGCGUGCCUAAUACAUGCAAGUCGAACGAGAGCAACCGGUGCUUGCACUGGUCAAUCUAGUGGCGAACGGGUGGGUAACACGUGGGUAACCUGCCCAUCAGAGGGGGAUAACAUCCGGAAACGGAUGCUAAAACCGCAUAGGUCUUCGAACCGCAUGGUUUGAAGAGGAAAAGAGGCGCAAGCUUCUGCUGAUGGAUGGACCCGCGGUGCAUUAGCUAGUUGGUGAGGUAACGGCUCACCAAGGCCGUGGUGCAUAGCCGACCUGAGAGGGUGAUUCGCCACAAUGGGACUGAGACACGGCCCAAACUCCUACGGGAGGCAGCAGUAGGGAAUCUUCCGCAAUGGACGCAAGUCUGACGGAGCAACGCCGCGUGAGUGAAGAAGGUUUUCGGAUCGUAAAACUCUGUUGUUAGAGAAGAACAAGUGCUAGAGUAACUGUUAGCGCCUUGACGGUAUCUAACCAGAAAGCCACGGCUAACUACGUG